CUGACGUAGGUGCACAGAAGCUCUGCGCCUGCGCUAAGAUGAAAACAGGCGUGGAGGAGGCGUAGUAUCCUAAUGGGAGGGAAUGUUGCUGCUUCAAGUUGGCUUAUUGAGAGGCUCUUCGUGGGGUUGUCUUGCUGGACUCCCACAGCGUUUCGUGUGACUGCCGGGCCAUUUCUGCACCACGCCGCUGUUGGUCCAUGGAAUUGAAUUCUGGAAUUCAUUCCUCUUUAUUGUGGGCUUAAGCAAGCCUAAAUCUGAAUAAGAUCGGGCGCAAAGGUUUCAAUCCUAUGCAAGUUUAUUUAGGAAAAUGAGGAGGAUCGUAUCUCAGCAGGGAGCGCAUUCCACAAUCUCGGGGCAGCAACCGAAAAGGCCCAUUUCUCUGUAGCCACCAGACGAGUCGGCGGUAACUGGAGACAGACCUCCUCAGAUGACCUCAAUGAGCGGUGUGACUCAUAGUGAAGAAAACACUCCCUUAAAUUAAAUGCUAGUUUCCCAACAAUAGCAGAUCCCACACUGCAUGGCAAACCACGUUUGAAACUUUGCGGCACAUCAAAGGCAGUUUAUGAUCCGAAAAGGGGCUUUGCUUUGCUUCAGAGCAAAAUUACAAAAUUACUCAGGGUGUGUAUGUAUAGAGCAACUCUCUCAUUCCCACCAAUAUGUAGGAGGUGGAUCCAAUUGGACAAACUGGCCUUGACUGUACUUCGAGACUGUUUGCUCUAGAGCAGUUGCACCUUUAUUUUCACCCUGCCUACUGUCAUGUCUUGUGGGCUGAGGAAGGCCACUGUCUUCUUACUCUCAGGUACAUUUCCAAAUUUCUAAGUGUCACUUGGCCACUUAUUGAAAUUAGUUGGGUAUUUUUUUUUAAGUGCUACCUGUGUGUGUUGGUCUUUUGGAAGCCUACCACUGUAUUCCAAAGGAGGUCUCAUCCUCAUCCUCUCGUAAUGGAAUAAAUUGGCUGAAAUGACUAAGGACAGCCUGUGGUGAAUCAGAUUCGGCAUGCAUCUAGUCCAGCACUCUCUCCAGCAGUGGCCACAAGCAGAGCAAGGUGGAGAAGGCGGCCCCACUUCAGAAUACUGGGCAAUUAAUGGGAUACUGUCUUUGUAUAAUGGAGAUUGCAUCUAACUGCUAAACUGUUUCAGACUUCAUUUUAAAAAAUACAAGAGAGUGAGCACCAUGCAUCCAGAGUUCGCUAAUCACUUUGUAAGAUUCAAUGAGAGAUUAGCUAAGCAUGAACUUAAAACCAGUAGGAGAGUUUUAGGUUCAUGUGUAGCUAACAUCUCACUGAAACAAGAAUCAAUAAAAUGUAAAAGUGCUUAUCUUUGAUUGAAUUGAUCAAGAAGAUUUUAUAGGAUGUCCAUCCUCCUUUGUGUGUGUAUAAAGUAGGUCCUGCUGAGUUCAAAGAGAUUUCCUCCCAAGUAUAUGCAGAGGAUAGCAACUUAAAAUCCACUGAAAUCUAAAUACCCUAUUUUUAUACAGGACUGCAACCACUGAGAGUGCAUUCCAUUGGUCUUGCAUGUACUUUCCCUUAUGUACUAUACAUGAAAAAUGGCAGUUACUCUCUGGGAGUAAUCCAGCCACAUGUCUGCAUGCAUCAUCAAGUAUACACAGUGUUCCUAUGAAGAAAUCUCUCCAUUUUGAUUCAGUCAUAACCAAAUAUUUUAGGUGAAAAAAGAGUCCAAGUACUCUGAAAUAAGGCUACAUUAUACCAAUAUACAGUGUUAUAAUGUGUGUUUUAAAAUACACUUUUAUUUUGUUUAGGGUCUUCUUGUUGAAAGGGUGGGAAAACCUUUAUACAUGUUUGAAAAUGAAGAAAUAUAAAUAACAGGGCUCAUCCUGAAGACAGUGACAAAUCUUCCAAUGGCUUAAAUGUAACAAGAUCUCUAUUCUGCACUUUAAGAAUAGGGGGGAAAGAUCAUUCUAGAUUAACUGUCCUGAAAAUAUUGAGGGCUCAAUCCAGAACUAGAGAAGUGAAUACGAGAUUUGCCUUUUUAUUAAUUGGGAUGUGGAUUGCUCUCUGGAAUAUAUAUUUCCUGGCUUUCUAUUUGUUGAUGUUAAAUGCAUACUUCUUAGUCAGGAGGUAGUUCUGUGGAACGAAUAAUCCAUAAAUUUGGUUUUUAUGCCUGUCCUUUUUGGUGUGCAUUUCUCCUUUGUUCCAGUAGGUGGUGCUUUAUGAUUAAAGCAUGAGUACAGCAACUUG